rnacentral:rRNA from 1 species
UACGUAGGGCGCCAGCGUUGUUCGGAAUUACUGGGUGUAAAGGGUUCGUAGGCGGUCCGGUAAGUUGGGUGUGAAAUCUCUGGGCUUAACCCAGAGGCUGCUUCCAAAACUGCUGUGCUUGAGCGUGGGAGAGGCGAGUGGAAUUCCUGGUGUAGCGGUGAAAUGCGCAGAUAUCAGGAGGAACACCGAUUGCGAAGGCAGCUCGCUGGGACGUCACUGACGCUGAGACGCGAAAGCGUGGGGAGCAAACAGG